GGUAGGACCUACCGCUGAACUUAAGCAUAUCAAUAAGCGAGGAAAAGAAACUAACAAGGAUUCCCCUAGUAACUGCGAGUGAAGCGGGAAAAGCUCAAAUUUAAAAUCUGGUAGUCUUUGGCUGCCCGAGUUGUAAUCUAGAGAAGCAUUAUCCGCGCUGGACCGUGUACAAGUCUCCUGGAACGGAGCGUCAUAGAGGGUGAGAAUCCCGUCUUUGACACGGACUACCAGGGCUUUGUGAUGUGCUCUCAAAGAGUCGAGUUGUUUGGGAAUGCAGCUCUAAAUGGGUGGUAAAUUCCAUCUAAAGCUAAAUAUUGGCGAGAGACCGAUAGCGAACAAGUACCGUGAGGGAAAGAUGAAAAGAACUUUGGAAAGAGAGUUAAACAGUACGUGAAAUUGUUGAAAGGGAAACGCUUGAAGUCAGUCGCGUUUGCCGGGGAUCAACCUUGCUUCUUGCUUGGCUUACUUCCUGGUAGACGGGUCAGCAUCAAUUUUGACCGGUGGAUAAAGGCUAGGGGAAUGUGGCAUCUUCGGGUGUGUUAUAGCCCUUGGUCGCAUACAUCGGUUGGGAUUGAGGAACUCAGCACGCCGCAAGGCCGGGUCUUUUGACCACGUUCGUGCUUAGGAUGCUGGCAUAAUGGCUUUAAUCGACCCGUCUUGAAACACGGACCAAGGAGUCUAACAUGCCCGCGAGUGUUUGGGUGGAAAACCCGAGCGCGUAAUGAAAGUGAAAGUUGAGAUCCCUGUCGUGGGGAGCAUCGACGCCCGGACCAGACCUUUUGUGACGGUCCCGCGGUAGAGCGUGUAUGUUGGGACCCGAAAGAUGGUGAACUAUGCCUGAAUAGGGUGAAGCCAGAGGAAACCUUGGUGGAGGCUCGUAGCGAUUCUGACGUGCAAAUCGAUCGUCGAAUUUCGGGUAUAGGGGCGAAAGACUAAUCGAACCAUCUAGUAGCUGGUUCCUGCCGAAGUUUCCCUCAGGAUAGCAGAAACUCAUGUCACGAUUUAUGUGGUAAAGCGAAUGAUUAGAGGCCUUGGGGUUGCAACAACCUUAACCUAUUCUCAAACUUUAAAUAUGUAAGAACGAGCCGUCUCUUGAUUGGAC
rnacentral:rRNA from 1 species